CCUACGGGUUGCACCAGUGGGGAAUAUUGCACAAUGGGCGCAAGCCUGAUGCAGCCAUGCCGCGUGUAUGAAGAAGGCCUUAGGGUUGUAAAGCUCUUUCACCGGUGAAGAUAAUGACGGUAACCGGAGAAGGAGCCCCGGCUAACUUCGUGCCAGCAGCCGCGGUAAUACGAAGGGGGCUAGCGUUGUUCGGAAUUACUGGGCGUAAAGCGCGCGUAGGCGGAUAGAUAAGUCAGAGGUGAAAUCCCGGGGCUCAACCCCGGAAUUGCCUUUGAUACUGUUUAUCUUGAGUGCAGAAGAGGUAAGUGGAAUUCCGAGUGUAGAGGUGAAAUUCGUAGAUAUUCGGAGGAACACCAGUGGCGAAGGCGGCUUACUGGUCUGCAACUGACGCUGAGGCGCGAAAGCGUGGGGAGCAAACGGGAUUAGAUACCCGCGUAGUC
rnacentral:rRNA from 1 species